rnacentral:rRNA from 1 species
UACAGGAGGGGGCAAGCGUUGUUCGGAAUUACUGGGCGUAAAGGGCGCGUAGGCGGCCUUCUAAGUCGAACGUGAAAUCCCCGGGCUCAACCCGGGAACUGCGUCCGAUACUGGAAGGCUUGAAUCCGGGAGAGGGAUGUGGAAUUCCAGGUGUAGCGGUGAAAUGCGUAGAUAUCUGGAGGAACACCGGUGGCGAAGGCGACAUCCUGGACCGGUAUUGACGCUGAGGCGCGAAAGCCAGGG